rnacentral:rRNA from 1 species
AUUGAACGCUGGCGGCAGGCCUAACACAUGCAAGUCGAACGGUAACAGGAAGCAGCUUGCUGCUUCGCUGACGAGUGGCGGACGGGUGAGUAAUGUCUGGGAAGCUGCCUGAUGGAGGGGGAUAACUACUGGAAACGGUAGCUAAUACCGCAUAAUGUCGCAAGACCAAAGAGGGGGACCUUCGGGCCUCUUGCCAUCGGAUGUGCCCAGAUGGGAUUAGCUUGUUGGUGGGGUAACGGCUCACCAAGGCGACGAUCCCUAGCUGGUCUGAGAGGAUGACCAGCCACACUGGAACUGAGACGCGGUCCAGACUCCUACGGGAGGCAGCAGUGGGGAAUAUUGGACAAUGGGCGAAAGCCUGAUCCAGCAAUGCCGCGUGAGUGAUGAAGGCCUUAGGGUUGUAAAGCUCUUUUACCCGGGAUGAUAAUGACAGUACCGGGAGAAUAAGCUCCGGCUAACUCCGUGCCAGCAGCCGCGGUAAUACGGAGGGAGCUAGCGUUAUUCGGAAUUACUGGGCGUAAAGCGCACGUAGGCGGCUUUGUAAGUUAGAGGUGAAAGCCUGGAGCUCAACUCCAGAAUUGCCUUUAAGACUGCAUCGCUUGAAUCCAGGAGAGGUGAGUGGAAUUCCGAGUGUAGAGGUGAAAUUCGUAGAUAUUCGGAAGAACACCAGUGGCGAAGGCGGCUCACUGGACUGGUAUUGACGCUGAGGUGCGAAAGCGUGGGGAGCAAACAGG